UGUCUUCUUCUGGAUCAAAUCAAGCGCGAAAAGGGCGUUUGGUGAAUGCCUUGGCAGUAAGAGGCGAUGAAGGACGUGAUACUCUGCGAUAAGUUAUGGGGAGCUGAGAAUAAGCUUUGAUCCAUAAAUUUCCGAAUGGGGCAACCCACCUGAUACUUUGUUAUUAAUACUACUUAUUGUAGUGCCGUUUAAGGGUUCGCCCUUGGGUAGCGUUGCAUGCGGUGGGGCAUAAUAAUAGGGUAAACCAGGUAUUUAUAACUUGAAUACAUAGGGUUAUAAAAGCAAACCCGGGGAACUGAAACAUCUAAGUACCCGGAGGAAAGGACAUCAAUUAGAUACUCCCCUAGUAGCGGCGAGCGAACGGGGACCAGCCGAGCCAUGAGUGUGACUAGAAUGUGUUGGAAAGCACAACCAAAGUGGGUGACAGUCCCGUAUAGGAAGCAUGAUUGGACGUAUUAAGUAGGGCGGGACACGUGAAAUCCUGUUCGAAGAUCGGAGGACCACCUCCGAAGGCUAAGUACUCCUUACUGACCGAUAGUGAACCAGUACCGUGAGGGAAAGGUGAAAAGCACCCCGACGAGGGGAGUGAAACAGUUUCUGAAACCGGACGCCUACAAUCAGUUGGAGGGCCCUUGCGGCCUGACAGCGUACCUUUUGUAUAAUGGGUCAUCGACUUAGUGUAUCUAGCAAGCUUAAGCCGUUAGGUGUAGGCGCAGCGAAAGCGAGUCUUAAUAGGGCGAUUGAGUUAGAUGCAUUAGACCCGAAACCGAGUGAUCUAGGCAUGACCAGGUUGAAGGUUGGGUAACACCAACUGGAGGACCGAACCCACAUCUGUUGAAAAAGAUCGGGAUGAGUUGUGCCUAGGGGUGAAAGGCCAAUCAAACUCGGAGAUAGCUGGUUCUCCGCGAAAUCUAUUUAGGUAGAGCGUCAUCCGAAUACCCCGGGGGGUAGAGCACUGGAUGGGUAAUGGGGCCCCACAGGCUUACUGAUCCUAACCAAACUCCGAAUACCCGGGAGUAAUAGAUGGCAGACACACUGCGGGUGCUAACGCCCGUAGUGAAAAGGGAAACAACCCUGACCGACAGUUAAGGCCCCUAAUUCAUGGCUAAGUGGGAAAGCAGGUGGGACGACCAAAACAACCAGGAAGUUGGCUUAGAAGCAGCCAUCUUUUAAAGAUAGCGUAACAGCUCACUGGUCUAAUUAAGUUGUCCUGCGGCGAAGAUGUAACGGGGCUCAAGCCAUGAGCCGAAACUUCGGAUGCAUUUAAUGCAUGGUAGCGGAGCGUAGUGUGACAUAGUUCCAUGCGUCCUUCGUUUUAUAGCGGACUGCCCAGGCUUUCGAGCCUGUGUGGAGGCGCGUAAAAUACUGGACGCAAGGAGCUUUCUGUGAAGCCGGCCUGUGAGGGAUCCGGUGGAGAGAUCACUAGUGAGAAUGAUGACAUGAGUAACGACAAAGGGGGUGAGAGACCCCCUCGCCGAAAAUCCAAGGGUUCCUGCUUAAAGCUAAUCUGAGCAGGGUAAGCCGGCCCCUAAGCCGAGGGCGAAAGCCGUAGGCGAUGGGAACCAGGUUAAUAUUCCUGGGCCAGGAGGAAGUGACGGAUCACAAAGAUUGUUGGAUCAGGCGUAGUUGCCCCAGCAGUUCAGUGGUUCCUGGAAAUAGCCCUCCAUCAGACCGUACCCUAAACCGACACAGGUGGAUAGGUAGAGUAUACCAAGGCGCUUGAGAGAACUAUGUUGAAGGAACUCGGCAAAAUACCUCCGUAAGUUCGCGAGAAGGAGGCCCGGUUUCUAGGCAACUGGAAGCUGGGGGCACAAACCAGGGGGUGGCGACUGUUUACUAAAAACACAGGGCUCUGCGAAGUCGCAAGACGACGUAUAGGGUCUGACGCCUGCCCGGUGCCUGAAGGUUAAAAGGAGGGGUGAGAGCUCCGAAUUGAAGCCCAGGUAAACGGCGGCCGUAACUAUAACGGUCCUAAGGUAGCGAAAUUCCUUGUCGGGUAAGUUCCGACCUGCACGAAUGGCGUAACGACUUCCCCGCUGUCUCCAACAUAGACUCAGUGAAAUUGAAUUGCCUGUCAAGAUGCAGGCUUCCCGCGGUUAGACGGAAAGACCCCGUGCACCUUUACUACAACUUUACACUGAUAACAGGCACAACAUGUGCAGAAUAGGUGGUAGGCUUUGAAGCAGAAACGCCAGUUUUUGUGGAGCCUCCUUUGAGAUACCACCCUUGUUUUGCUUGUUAUCUAACUGCGGUCCGUUAUCCGGAUCCAGGACCCUGUAUGGUGGGUAGUUUGACUGGGGCGGUCGCCUCCUAAAGCGUAACGGAGGCGCGCGAAGGUUGGCUCAGAGCGGUCGGAAAUCGCUCGUUGAGUGCAAUGGCAGAAGCCAGCCUGACUGCGAGACUGACAAGUCGAGCAGAGUCGAAAGACGGCCAUAGUGAUCCGGUGGUCCCGAGUGGAAGGGCCAUCGCUCAACGGAUAAAAGGUACGCCGGGGAUAACAGGCUGAUGGUGCCCAAGAGUCCAUAUCGACGGCACCGUUUGGCACCUCGAUGUCGGCUCAUCUCAUCCUGGGGCUGGAGCAGGUCCCAAGGGUACGGCUGUUCGCCGUUUAAAGAGGUACGUGAGCUGGGUUUAGAACGUCGUGAGACAGUUCGGUCCCUAUCUGCCGUGGGUGUAGGAUACUUGAGAGGAGUUGCCCCUAGUACGAGAGGACCGGGGUGAACGAUCCACUGGUGGACCAGUUGUCGACUACGGCAGUGCUGGGUAGCUAUGAUCGGACAGGAUAACCGCUGAAAGCAUCUAAGCGGGAAGCCCCCCUCAAAACAAGGUAUCCCUGAGGACCGAGGUAGACCACCUCGUCGAUAGGCCAGAGGUGUAAGCGUGGUAACACGUUCAGCUGACUGGUACUAAUGGUCCGAUAGGCUUGAUUUGAUCCAGUAGAAGGCA
rnacentral:rRNA from 1 species